GUACGGGAGGCAGCAGUGAGGAAUCUUGGACAAUGGGCGCAAGCCUGAUCCAGCAAUGCCGCGUGGGUGAAGACGGCCUGCGGGUUGUAAAGCCCUUUUGGCGGGGACGAAAGCCCUGAGGUGAACAGCGUCAGGGGGUGACGGUACCCGUCGAAGAAGCACCGGCCAACUCCGCGCCAGCAGCCGCGGUAAUACGGAGGGUGCGAGCGUUAAUCGGAAUUACUGGGCGUAAAGCGCACGUAGGCGGUCGUUCUAGUCCGUUGUGAAAGCCCCGGGCUCAACCUGGGAAUGGCAAGGGAAACGGAACGACUGGAGUGGACCAGAGGACCGUGGAAUUCCCGGUGUAGCGGUGAAAUGCGUAGAGAUCGGGAAGAACACCGAUGGCGAAGGCAGCGGUCUGGGGUCACACUGACGCUGAGGGGCGACAGCGUGGGGAGCAAACAGGAUUAGAUACCCUGGUAGUCU
rnacentral:rRNA from 1 species